GACGAACGCUGGCGGCGUGCUUAACACAUGCAAGUCGAACGGAAAGGCCCUGCUUUUGUGGGGUGCUCGAGUGGCGAACGGGUGAGUAACACGUGAGUAACCUGCCCUUGACUUUGGGAUAACUUCAGGAAACUGGGGCUAAUACCGGAUAGGAGCUCCUGCUGCAUGGUGGGGGUUGGAAAGUUUCGGCGGUUGGGGCUGGACUCGCGGCUUAUCAGCUGGUUGGUGGGGUAGUGGUUUACCAAGGCUUUGACGGGUAGCCGGCCUGAGAGGGGGACCGGCCACAUUGGGACUGAGAUACGGCCCAGACUGCUACGGGAGGCAGCAGUGGGGAAUAUGGCACAAUGGGCGGAAGCCUGAGGCAGAAACGCCGCGUGCGGGAUGACGGCCUUCGGGUUGUAAACCGCUUUCGCCGGUGCCGAAGCGUGAGUGGCGGUAAUGGGUAAAGAAGCACCGGCUAACUACGUG
rnacentral:rRNA from 1 species